UAGCAUAUCAAUAAGCGGAGGAAAAGAAACCAACCGGGAUUGCCUCAGUAACGGCGAGUGAAGCGGCAAGAGCUCAAAUUUGAAAGCUGGCUCCUUCGGGGUCCGCAUUGUAAUUUGCAGAGGAUGCUUCGGGUGCGGCCCCUGUCUAAGUGCCCUGGAACGGGCCGUCAGAGAGGGUGAGAAUCCCGUCUGGGAUGGGGUGUCCGCGCCCGUGUGAAGCUCCUUCGACGAGUCGAGUUGUUUGGGAAUGCAGCUCUAAAUGGGUGGUAAAUUUCAUCUAAAGCUAAAUACUGGCCGGAGACCGAUAGCGCACAAGUAGAGUGAUCGAAAGAUGAAAAGCACUUUGAAAAGAGAGUUAAAAAGCACGUGAAAUUGUUGAAAGGGAAGCGCUUGCGACCAGACUCGCCUCCAGGGUUCAGCCGGCAUUCGUGCCGGUGUACUUCCCUGGGGGCGGGCCAGCGUCGGUUUGGGCGGCCGGUCAAAGGCUCCCGGAAUGUAGUGCCCUCCGGGGCACCUUAUAGCCGGGAGUGCAAUGCGGCCAGCCUGGACCGAGGAACGCGCUUCGGCACGGACGCUGGCAUAAUGGUCGUAAACGACCCGUCUUGAAACACGGACCAAGGAGUCUAACAUCUACGCGAGUGUUCGGGUGUCAAACCCGUACGCGCAGUGAAAGCGAACGGAGGUGGGAGCCCCCUCGUGGGGCGCACCAUCGACCGAUCCUGAUGUCUUCGGAUGGAUUUGAGUAAGAGCGUAAAUGUGGGGACCCGAAAGAUGGUGAACUAUGCCUGAAUAGGGCGAAGCCAGAGGAAACUCUGGUGGAGGCUCGCAGCGGUUCUGACGUGCAAAUCGAUCGUCAAAUUUGGGUAUAGGGGCGAAAGACUAAUCGAACCAUCUAGUAGCUGGUUCUGC
rnacentral:rRNA from 1 species